UACGUAGGGCGCGAGCGUUGUCCGGAAUUAUUGGGCGUAAAGAGCUCGUAGGCGGCCGGUUGCGUCUGCUGUGAAAUCCCGGGGCUUAACCCCGGGCGUGCAGUGGAUACGGGCUGGCUGGAGGCAGGCAGGGGAGAAUGGAAUUCCCGGUGUAGCGGUGAAAUGCGUAGAUAUCUGGAAGAGCACCAAUGGCGAAGGCAAUGUUCUGGCUCGUUUCUGACGCUCAGGUGCGAAAGCCAGGGGAGCGAACGGGG
rnacentral:rRNA from 1 species